GAAUCUUGGACAAUGGGCGAAAGCCUGAUCCAGCCAUGCCGCGUGAGUGAUGAAGGCCUUAGGGUUGUAAAGCUCUUUUACCCGAGAUGAUAAUGACAGUAUCGGGAGAAUAAGCCCCGGCUAACUCCGUGACAUCAGCCGCGGUAAUACGGAGGGAGCUAGCGUUGUUCGGAAUUACUGGGCGUAAAGCGCACGUAGGCGGCUUUUUAAGUCAGGGGUGAAAUCCCGGGGCUCAACCACGGAACUGCCCUUGAAACUGGGAAGCUAGAAUCUUGGAGAGGCGAGUGGAAUUCCGAGUGUAGAGGUGAAAUUCGUAGAUAUUCGGAAGAACACCAGUGGCGAAGGCGACUCGCUGGACAAGUAUUGACGCUGAGGUGCGAAAGCGUGGGGAGCAAACAGG
rnacentral:rRNA from 1 species